GAUGAAGAACGUAGCGAAAUGCGAUAAGUAAUGUGAAUUGCAGAAUUCAGUGAAUCAUCGAAUCUUUGAACGCACAUUGCGCCCGCCAGUAUUCUGGCGGGCAUGCCUGUUCGAGCGUCAUUUCAACCAUCAAGCCCCAGGCUUGUGUUGGGGUCCUGCGGCUGCCGCAGGCCCUGAAAAACAGUGGCGGGCUCGCUGUCACACCGAGCGUAGUAAUACAUCUCGCUUUGGACGUGCGGCGGGUUCUUGCCGUUAAACACCCCCCUUCUCAAGGUUGACCUCGGAUCAGGUAGGAAUACCCGCUGAACUUAAGCAUAUCAAUAAGCGGAGGA
rnacentral:misc_RNA from 1 species